rnacentral:rRNA from 1 species
AGUAACACGUGAGCAACCUACCCUUCAGAGGGGGACAACAGUUGGAAACGACUGCUAAUACCGCAUAAGACCACGGUGUGGCAUCACACAGAGGUCAAAGGAGAAAUCCGCUGAAGGAUGGGCUCGCGUCCAAUUAGCUAGAUGGUGAGGUAACGGCCCACCAUGGCGACGAUUGGUAGCCGGACUGAGAGGUUGAUCGGCCACAUUGGGACUGAGACACGGCCCAGACUCCUACGGGAGGCAGCAUG